UACGGGGGGGGUAAGCGUUGUUCGGAAUUACUGGGCGUAAAGGGCUCGUAGGCGGCCAACUAAGUCAUACGUGAAAUCCCUCAGCUUAACUGGGGAACUGCGUGUGAUACUGGAUGGCUUGGAUUUGGGAGAGGGAUGCGGAAUUCCAGGUGUAGCGGUGAAAUGCGUAGAUAUCUGGAGGAACACCGGUGGCGAAGGCGGCAUCCUGGACCAAUAUUGACGGUGAGGAGCGAAAGCCAGGGGAGCAAACGGG
rnacentral:rRNA from 1 species